rnacentral:ncRNA from 7 species
UAGCUGGUUCCCUCCGAAGUUUCCCUCA